rnacentral:misc_RNA from 1 species
CCGCGGUUAUAUACACGUUAAUUUGAAGAAAAAAAAAACAGCCUGUAUCCUUCCUCGGUAAAUGGACUAUGCAACACAAAAAUAAUUUAUAAAUUCGGACCAGUAGUUCCUGAGAUUAGCGCGUUUAAACGAAAAUAUAUACUUUUCAGCUUUAUAAUAUUAGUAUAGAUAGAGAGAUAAAUCUCAUUCUAACAUUUACACUAAUUAUAACAGCCGAACUCCACUCAUAACAGGUCGAACAAUUACAUCACCGGUUCCACAAAUUACCCUUUACCUUUAAAAAGUAGAAAAUAGUUUUAUAUUACCUAUGACUAAGACCAUCGAACCAGUAACUACGGCGACAUAUAUGUAUAUUUAUAACGCCGGAAGACCGAUGACAUUGGGUACCCACUAUAGUUGCAUACGAGUUGGCAGCUAGCCACAUUUUAAAACUGUUUUACCGCAGACGAAAAGCCGAGAGAAUUUUUAGUACAAUGGAAUGAUGUAAAAGAUAGUACUUCGGGCGUUAGGAAGUUCUAUUAGCUUGACGUGUUGUUUACGAGUAAAUCAUGUUCGAAAUUAUGAACGAUGAAAUCAGAAGUUAAGAUUUGAAUCUCUACGAGGUUCAUACACAUUCAAAUAUUAUAUAUUUUGUACACCAAAAACUAAAAGAAAGAAUACAAAAUAAUGAAAACGUAAAUAUACAACGGGCGAUUUAAUCACUACCGAGCGAUUUCAUCCAGACAUGACAUAAAAAUUAUUAAAAUUAAGAAACAAUAUUUUUCAAAAUAUUAAUACU